UACGAAGGGUGCAAGCGUUACUCGGAAUUACUGGGCGUAAAGCGUGCGUAGGCGGUUUGUUAAGUCUGUCGUGAAAGCCCCGGGCUCAACCUGGGAAUGGCGAUGGAAACUGGCGAGCUAGAGUACGGUAGAGGAGAGUGGAAUUCCCGGUGUAGCAGUGAAAUGCGUAGAGAUCGGGAGGAACAUCAGUUGCGAAGGCGGCUCUCUGGACCAGUACUGACGCUGAGGCACGAAAGCGUGGGGAGCAAACAGGAUUAGAUACCCGAGUAGU
rnacentral:rRNA from 1 species